rnacentral:rRNA from 1 species
AAAUCGUAACAAGGUGUCCGUUGGGAACCAGCGGAGGGAUCAUUACCGAGUUUACAACUCCCAAACCCAAUGUGAACGUUAUCAAACUGUUGCCUCGGCGGGGUCACGCCCCGGGUGGGUUGCAGCCCCGGAACCAGGCGCCCGCCGGAGGCCCCAACCAAACUCUUUCCCUAGUCCCGUACCGGACUGUAUUUUGAUCAUAUGGGAGCAAAAAUUCAAAAUGAAUCAAAACGUUCAAACUUUGGAUAAUUGGUUCUGUGGUUGAUGAAGAAAGCAGCGAAAUGCGAUAAGUAAUGUGAAAAGCAGAAUUCAUGAAUCAUUGAAUCAUUGAAUGCACAUUGCCCCAUUGCAGUAUUCCAGCGGGCAUGCGGGCAUGAGCGUCAUUUCAACCCUCGAACCCCUCCGGGGGAUGGGCGGUGGGGAUCGGGACCCCUCUCAGCGGGCCCGGCCCCGAAAUACAGGGUGGUCUGUCACGCAGCAUCUCAGUAGCCAGUCGUUUGCCCAGGUAGCGACCGGGGAGUUCCGAGCGCGUA